AGAGUUUGAUCCUGGCUCAGAUUGAACGCUGGCGGCAUGCCUUACACAUGCAAGUCGAGCGGCAGCGCGGGGGCAACCCUGGCGGCGAGCGGCGAACGGGUGAGUAAUACAUCGGAACGUGUCCAGUAGCGGGGGAUAACCUGUCGAAAGAUAGGCUAAUACCGCAUACGACCUACGGGUGAAAGCGGGGGACUCUCGGGCAACUGAGGGCCUCGCACUAUUGGAGCGGCCGAUGUCGGAUUAGCUAGUUGGCGGGGUAAAAGCCCACCAAGGCGACGAUCCGUAGCUGGUCUGAGAGGACGAUCAGCCACACUGGAACUGAGACACGGUCCAGACUCCUACGGGAGGCAGCAGUGGGGAAUUUUGGACAAUGGGGGCAACCCUGAUCCAGCCAUGCCGCGUGAGUGAAGAAGGCCUUCGGGUUGUAAAGCUCUUUCGGCGGGGACGAAACGGUCCGUGACAACACCACGGACUAAUGACAGUACUCGCAGAAGAAGCACCGGCUAACUCUGUGCCAGCCGCCGCGGUAAUUC
rnacentral:rRNA from 1 species